UACGUAGGGUGCAAGCGUUGUCCGGAAUUCCUGGGCGUAAAGCGUGCGCAGGCGGUUUGCGAAGACAGGUGUGAAAUCCCCGGGCUUAACCUGGGAACUGCGCUUGUUACUGGCAAGCUGGAGUGUGGCAGAGGGGGGUGGAAUUCCACGUGUAGCAGUGAGAUGCGUAGAGAUGUGGAGGAACACCGAUGGCGAAGGCAGCCCCCUGGGCUAACACUGACGCUCAUGCACGAAAGCGUGGGGAGCAAACAGG
rnacentral:rRNA from 1 species